UUCAUAAUAACUUAACGAAUCGCAUGGCCUUGCGCCGGCGAUGGUUCAUUCAAAUUUCUGCCCUAUCAACUUUCGAUGGUAGGAUAGUGGCCUACCAUGGUCUCAACGGGUAACGGGGAAUUAGGGUUCUAUUCCGGAGAGGGAGCCUGAGAAACGGCUACCACAUCCAAGGAAGGCAGCAGGCGCGCAAAUUACCCAAUCCCAAUUCGGGGAGGUAGUGACAAUAAAUACUGAUACAGGGCUCUUUUGGGUCUUGUAAUUGGAAUGAGUACAAUCUAAAUCCCUUAACGAGGAACAAUUGGAGGGCAAGUCUGGUGCCAGCAGCCGCGGUAAUUCCAGCUCCAAUAGCGUAUAUUAAAGUUGUUGCCGUUAAAAAGCUCGUAGUUGAACCUUGGGUCUGGCCGAUCUGUCCUCCUAAUCGAGCGUACGGAUUCGGUCGGACCUUUCCUUCUGGGGAGCCCGAUGCCCUUCACUGGGCGUCGUGGGGAACCAGGACUUUUACCUUGAAAAAAUUAGAGUGUUCAAAGCAGGCCUUUGCUCGAAUACAUUAGCAUGGAAUAAUAAAAUAGGACAGAGGUUCUAUUUUGUUGGUUUCUAGGACCGCUGUAAUGAUUAAUAGGGAUAGUCGGGGGCGUCCGUAUUCAAUUGUCAGAGGUGAAAUUCUUGGAUUUAUUGAAGACGAACUACUGCGAAAGCAUUCGCCAAGGAUGUUUUCAUUAAUCAGUGAACGAAAGUUAGGGGAUCGAAGACGAUCAGAUACCGUCGUAGUCUUAACCAUAAACUAUGCCGACUAGGGAUCGGACGGUGGUUUUUUUAUGCCCCGUUCGGCACCUUACGA
rnacentral:rRNA from 1 species